rnacentral:tRNA from 1 species
AGGAUAAUAGUUAAAUUAACAUUAAAUUUGCAAUUUAAAAAUACUGUUCUCAGUUUAUCUUA